CAGCACGUGAGAGUCGCGCGCGAGAGAAAGGGAAAACGGAGCCUGAUGUGGCGUCAUCACUGCCUAGCGACUCGUUGCUUAGCGACGGGGAAACAGCUGUUCCGGUGAGGGCCAAUCAGGUUGGCUGCGAGAGGCGCGUGCCCUCGCUUUGCGUUGGAAAACUGGAAGAUUUGGGGGAUAUUUGUUUAAAAGGGGAAAAGUGUUGUUUAAAAGGGAUCGUCACACACACACACACACACACACACACACGAGCGCGCGCGCGGGGGGGGCGCGCAGACAGGACCAGGACCAGACACAUGAACGAGGUAUUAAAGCGUGUACAUCCGGGACGUUUGAGUAAUGACGCCCCACUGAGCCGGCGGAGUGUUCGAGCGGAGCUGCGCGGAUCUGCGGCUUUUUCUCCAGCGCCUCUAUAAACAACGGUAUUAAUGUGCAGUGGUUUGAGACCUGGAUGACCUGGCAACCCCCAAGCUCAGGGUGGAACGUGUCAUCUUGUCGACGAACAUACGCUCGUGUUUGCAGUGACCAAACAUCUGUCUCUCUUGUUUUCAUCGCAGCACUCGGAGGGCGCGUGUGUGUGUUAGAUACAGGAGCGAUGCUCAGGUGAACACGGCCGUCGUUAGAAAGUAGUCAGGAUCUUCCCAGCGAGUGUGCACGUAUCGAUCAACGACGUCGAAAGUCGCCUACUUUAAGAGGAAGUAUGCGGAAGAGGAGGAUGUCCAGGGAAGCCUAUGUGGAUAUUUACAAAAACACCUGAUCUUACGCGAGGAGCGCAGCUGCAUUUUGCGCCUGUCGCUACAGAAGCUGCGUUUCCUGGACGACCCCGAGGCCUUCCUGCGCCGUGCCGUUCUCAUCAACAACCUGCUGCGCAAGAUCCACUCGGACGACGGGCAGAGGGACCGAGACGGACCGAGGAAUGGAGAGAACGAGGAGGAAGAAGAAGUGGAAAGGCUUUUUUACUUUGACAGGAAGAGACUGAAGGUCGUGGUGAGCCCUGAACACGGACAUCCCAUCUUCCUUUAUCCACUUAACAACUGCUAAAAUCCCACUGUACUUAAGCGCUGGUGUUUAAACCUAGCAGAGAUGACGGCGUAGGUUGGAGGCGAAGGUGUGUGUCUGUGCAAUGUGUGUGUGUGUGUGUGUGUGUGUGUGUGUAAACCUGUGUGUCAGCAUCAAACACUUGGAAGCUGGGAUUAUUGCAGUGUCAGAUGGAUUAUAAGAAGCAUCUUUGAACAUCAGGGUUUGCUUUUUUUAACACACGAAAAGAAAGAUUGAGCCUAACUGCCUCUCUAAAUAAACUUUAAUUUUGCCUUUU